UAGUAGUAGAUUAGUUUAGCAAAUUUUACAGUAAUUUUUUAUCCAUUUAGAUAUGCAAUGAGAAUUCAAGAUCAUCCCAAGCAGUGCUUUAUUUUAUACAUCACAUUGGUGCUAAUUUCCAGCACGGUUUCAUGUCUCCACGAGGUGGCUCCUUCUCAUAAUAAAUAUAUUACAGAUUCAUACUUUAAGGAACACAAUAGCUUGACAGAUUCAAAA